rnacentral:lncRNA from 1 species
ACUGGAACAUUCGGAAAUGGUCGGAGGAGAAUAAUGAGCACGUGUCAGCAUUGGAAGAGAUCGACGGGGAGAGUGCUCCUCCUCCGUCCGCGUCCCAGGUAGGGAUUUGAACGUUUGGGAUCAUCGUUUAGUGGUUCAGUUUGUUUCGGUCAUUAACAAUAAAUAUAUAAAGUGGUGCCUGGUGCCAUGGAAGGGGGCUUGCGGUUUGUUUAACCAAGGUUGAGUCAACAUUAAGUAACAACAAAAUAUCUUUAGUCUCAUCCGGUUACUAUAAUUAGCGGAUAAUUUUAUUUCUUAAAUAUAUAAUUAUAAAUUUAGUUUAAUCCUUCAUUUGAUUGGAUUAUUCUUUCAAUAUAUUAAGGGAUUAGUCUUUAACUUUUAAUUAAAUAUAUUAACUAAAACCAUAUAUAUCUAUAGUUCCCAUGAUGACGUGUCCACUGUCCACAUGGUUUGUUUUUGUCUAGCUUGCAUUAUAAGGGUUCGUGUUUAGCUUUAGUUUCUUUGUUUUUAGCGGUAACAACAUUAUAUGUCUCAGUUGAAUAAAACGACAAAUGUUUCAAUUUUGUUAAAACUCCGUUAAGUGAUUGAUUGAUACUCCGUUACGGGAUUGAUAGUUACUAUAUCUAUGCACGUGUAUUUGUGUAUGAGGAAUUUGCAAAGGAAUAUAAGGCUUGUUUGGAUUUUUGUUAAGAGGGGAAUGCUGAUUUUUUUUUAAAUAGAAUGAUUCGUUGAACAGUUACAUCAAGUUGCUGCUAAUGUUAUACAUGUAUUAUGGUGGAUUAUUUGCAACAUAGUAUAUUCUGUGGGUGGUUCAAUACGUGUAGGCUGUGUAAACUGGUAUAGAGGGAGCGGACUGGCCUGUUAGUCUGCUGCCUUCAUUGCUGUAAUUUUCUGCACUUCUUGUGCCUUUAAUGUAAUCAAUGUUAUUGCUGUUGAAAAGAAAUUGUGAGUCAAAUUUAAUAUAUAAAAUUUAUUAUUAUCAUUAAUUGUUAUAAAAAGAUAAUAACUUUUUUUUUUAUAAUUUUCAUAUGUAAUAACUAAAAUUUAGUUAAAUAAAGGGUUAUAAUAUAUUUUUAAUUGAUAGCUUAAUGUCAAAUUUAUAGGUGUUAAUUAUAAAUGAGAUAAAAUUUAUAGAUCAAUUAAUGUUUUUUUUAUUGUGUACCAAUUUUUUUAUUGAUCGAAAAGGUAAAAUUUAGGAGAGUUAAAUACUCUUUUCAUUUUUAUUAAUUAGUUGUCGUUUAUGGUAUUUUAGUAGGGUGACUGCUUUGAUAAAUAAAUAACAAAGGAAAACAUAUUUAUCCUAAAUUAGAUGCGGAUACACAUUGGAGAUUGGCUAGGAAGAAGUCAGUAGUUACAAAGUUAAAAUGAUCUUUAAUUAAUUUUUAUGCAACAAGAGACAAGACCUGAGCAUUGUUGAAGAAACAUUUUAGACUCAUAAAUGGACAUACAAAGACAAGGCAUAAAACUCCUCUGUUUAGGUGGCUGGGGCUAUGACCAGGAUAAAUGGAGUUGGUGGUGAAGGAUGCUUGAGGAAGGUGGAGUUGUUCCAGAUUUAGUUUUCGACUUAGAUGAUGCAUGGAACUGGCUAGUGACGUG